rnacentral:rRNA from 1 species
GAUUAAGUUAUUAAGGGCGCACGGUGGAUGCCUUGGCACUAGAAGCCGAUGAAGGACGUUACUAACGACGAUAUGCUUUGGGGAGCUGUAAGUAAGCUUUGAUCCAGAGAUUUCCGAAUGGGGAAACCCAGCAUGAGUUAUGUCAUGUUAUCGAUAUGUGAAUACAUAGCAUAUCAGAAGGCACACCCGGAGAACUGAAACAUCUUAGUACCCGGAGGAAGAGAAAGAAAAUUCGAUUCCCUUAGUAGCGGCGAGCGAAACGGGAAGAGCCCAAACCAACAAGCUUGCUUGUUGGGGUUGUAGGACACUCUAUACGGAGUUACAAAGGACGACAUUAGACGAAUCAUCUGGAAAGAUGAAUCAAAGAAGGUAAUAAUCCUGUAGUCGAAAAUGUUGUCUCUCUUGAGUGGAUCCUGAGUACGACGGAGCACGUGAAAUUCCGUCGGAAUCUGGGAGGACCAUCUCCUAAGGCUAAAUACUCUCUAGUGACCGAUAGUGAACCAGUACCGUGAGGGAAAGGUGAAAAGCACCCCGGAAGGGGAGUGAAAUAGAACCUGAAACCGUGUGCUUACAAGUAGUCAGAGCCCGUUAAUGGGUGAUGGCGUGCCUUUUGUAGAAUGAACCGGCGAGUUAUGAUUUGAUGCAAGGUUAAGCAGUAAAUGUGGAGCCGUAGCGAAAGCGAGUCUGAAUAGGGCGUUUAGUAUUUGGUCGUAGACCCGAAACCAGGUGAUCUACCCUUGGUCAGGUUGAAGUUCAGGUAACACUGAAUGGAGGACCGAACCGACUUACGUUGAAAAGUGAGCGGAUGAACUGAGGGUAGCGGAGAAAUUCCAAUCGAACCUGGAGAUAGCUGGUUCUCUCCGAAAUAGCUUUAGGGCUAGCCUCAAGUGAUGAUUAUUGGAGGUAGAGCACUGUUUGGACGAGGGGCCCCUCUCGGGUUACCGAAUUCAGACAAACUCCGAAUGCCAAUUAAUUUAACUUGGGAGUCAGAACAUGGGUGAUAAGGUCCGUGUUCGAAAGGGAAACAGCCCAGACCACCAGCUAAGGUCCCAAAAUAUAUGUUAAGUGGAAAAGGAUGUGGCGUUGCCCAGACAACUAGGAUGUUGGCUUAGAAGCAGCCAUCAUUUAAAGAGUGCGUAAUAGCUCACUAGUCGAGUGACACUGCGCCGAAAAUGUACCGGGGCUAAACAUAUUACCGAAGCUGUGGAUUGUCCUUUGGACAAUGGUAGGAGAGCGUUCUAAGGGCGUUGAAGCAUGAUCGUAAGGACAUGUGGAGCGCUUAGAAGUGAGAAUGCCGGUGUGAGUAGCGAAAGACGGGUGAGAAUCCCGUCCACCGAUUGACUAAGGUUUCCAGAGGAAGGCUCGUCCGCUCUGGGUUAGUCGGGUCCUAAGCUGAGGCCGACAGGCGUAGGCGAUGGAUAACAGGUUGAUAUUCCUGUACCACCUAUAAUCGUUUUAAUCGAUGGGGGGACGCAGUAGGAUAGGCGAAGCGUGCGAUUGGAUUGCACGUCUAAGCAGUAAGGCUGAGUAUUAGGCAAAUCCGGUACUCGUUAAGGCUGAGCUGUGAUGGGGAGAAGACAUUGUGUCUUCGAGUCGUUGAUUUCACACUGCCGAGAAAAGCCUCUAGAUAGAAAAUAGGUGCCCGUACCGCAAACCGACACAGGUAGUCAAGAUGAGAAUUCUAAGGUGAGCGAGCGAACUCUCGUUAAGGAACUCGGCAAAAUGACCCCGUAACUUCGGGAGAAGGGGUGCUCUUUAGGGUUAACGCCCAGAAGAGCCGCAGUGAAUAGGCCCAAGCGACUGUUUAUCAAAAACACAGGUCUCUGCUAAACCGUAAGGUGAUGUAUAGGGGCUGACGCCUGCCCGGUGCUGGAAGGUUAAGAGGAGUGGUUAGCUUCUGCGAAGCUACGAAUCGAAGCCCCAGUAAACGGCGGCCGUAACUAUAACGGUCCUAAGGUAGCGAAAUUCCUUGUCGGGUAAGUUCCGACCCGCACGAAAGGCGUAACGAUUUGGACACUGUCUCAACGAGAGACUCGGUGAAAUCAUAGUACCUGUGAAGAUGCAGGUUACCCGCGACAGGACGGAAAGACCCCGUGGAGCUUUACUGUAGCCUGAUAUUGAAAUUCGGCACAGCUUGUACAGGAUAGGUAGGAGCCUUUGAAACGUGAGCGCUAGCUUACGUGGAGGCGCUGGUGGGAUACUACCCUAGCUGUGUUGGCUUUCUAACCCGCACCACUUAUCGUGGUGGGAGACAGUGUCAGGCGGGCAGUUUGACUGGGGCGGUCGCCUCCUAAAAGGUAACGGAGGCGCUCAAAGGUUCCCUCAGAAUGGUUGGAAAUCAUUCAUAGAGUGUAAAGGCAUAAGGGAGCUUGACUGCGAGACCUACAAGUCGAGCAGGGUCGAAAGACGGACUUAGUGAUCCGGUGGUUCCGCAUGGAAGGGCCAUCGCUCAACGGAUAAAAGCUACCCCGGGGAUAACAGGCUUAUCUCCCCCAAGAGUUCACAUCGACGGGGAGGUUUGGCACCUCGAUGUCGGCUCAUCGCAUCCUGGGGCUGUAGUCGGUCCCAAGGGUUGGGCUGUUCGCCCAUUAAAGCGGUACGCGAGCUGGGUUCAGAACGUCGUGAGACAGUUCGGUCCCUAUCCGUCGUGGGCGUAGGAAAUUUGAGAGGAGCUGUCCUUAGUACGAGAGGACCGGGAUGGACAUACCUCUGGUGUACCAGUUGUCGUGCCAACGGCAUAGCUGGGUAGCUAUGUGUGGACGGGAUAAGUGCUGAAAGCAUCUAAGCAUGAAGCCCCCCUCAAGAUGAGAUUUCCCAACUUCGGUUAUAAGAUCCCUCAAAGAUGAUGAGGUUAAUAGGUUCGAGGUGGAAGCAUGGUGACAUGUGGAGCUGACGAAUACUAAUCGAUCGAAGACUUAAUCAA